GGCGACUAGACUCCCUUCCUGAUUGCACAGAGGGCUGUUGUCUGGGACGGUGAUCUGGACAAUGGAUGCUGGUCAGCUGAGGCCGAAGAACCAGCUGUGAUUAAGAAGAGACCAGCAUCACCAGAGUGGAGUGUUCUGGGAAGAGGUUCAUCUGAGUUAGCACACAGAAGCGGUGCUCCAGAGCGGCCAAGGUUGUGCCGCCUUGCACUGGCAGCUGAAUUUGGUAGUUUAAAAGUCACCCAGGCGGCACUGGUUUUGGAGGCAGGAAGGGGUCAGGGAGAGCAGCUGAGGCUUGUUACUGUGAGAGGCCAAGAGAGGCCAUUGGUGAAAUGUACAGCUUCAGUAGCAGGAUUAAAUAGGUCAUUCGGAGAAUUUGCGGCUUGGUACCAUGAAGAAAGUCCGGGAAAGGCUAUUGGUGAAAGUCCAGUUGCAGCAAGAGACCCCAGCACUUUGGAGAUGUCAGGACCAUGGGGUGACCUCCAAGGACAGCAUCAAUGAUAGAGAGGCAGUGACUUGAGUUUGGCAGACGAGCUGUGUGUGCUGCAGAGGGCAGAGCUGGGGAAGUGACCCAAGCCCUUUGGAGGAGCCCAGAGGAUCAUGAGUGAGUCCCAGAUAUUGGGCAUUGAAUUAUUUCCACUGUUGGAGUUUGGUUUGUGCUGCAGCCAGUGCAGCCUGGAUAGCCAAGACUGGUGGGGGUGCCGGAAUUGAGACUCUGAGGCUUCUUUUCAGGUGGAAGAACAGCAACCUUUAUUUUGCCCAGCAACCUUUUAUACCUCUACUCCUUCUGCAGAGACCCAUGGGCCAGAAAGAACACAAACAUACUUGUCAAUUACAGACAGCAAGGAAGUUCCGAGGUCAGUCAGGGGGAGUGAGGGCAGCUGGAUCACAACAGGUUUGCUUUGUUUAGCUUGUGACUGCGCCCUGUUUUUCCCUCUUGAAGUAAGAAAGUACUUAAUUUAUUUUUGAUUUGACAAGAACCCACAGUUGAGAGACUUAAAACUUAAAAAAGAAGAGAUUUUGUAGUCUUACAGAGAAUUUGGAUUUUAAAAAAGACUGGAUAUUUUUAAAGAUACAACUUUUAAAGUGUUUGAAUUUGUAAGGCUGUGGGAUUUGGUAAGUUUGUAAAACGUUUUAUAUUGUUAUGUCUUUAUUAAUGUGUGAUAUUGGGCAUGAACAAGAAAGGAAAGGUGUGGUGUAACAGUAAUGUUUAUGUAGCAAGAGCUGACAAAGGGUCAGCUGCCUGGCUAGUUCUGUGUCAACUAAAGGCACAAGCUAAAGUUGUUAGAGAAGAGGGCACCUCAAGUGAAAAACUGCUUCCGUGAGAUCCUGCUGUACAUUUUGAAAAUCAAUAUGGCAGUUUCUCAGAAAAUUGGGAAUCAAUUUACUUCAAGACCCAGCUAUACCGAUCAUAUACACAAAGGCUAUCCAGUCAUACCACAAGGAUACUUGCUCCACUAUGUUCAUAGCAGCAUUAUUUGUAAUACCCCGAUCCUGGAAACAACCUAGAUGCCCCAGGGAAACUCCGAGGGAAAGGGAAAUAGAGGAGAUUUCCUGGGUAAACUAGGGGUGGGGGUGCAGGAGGGAGAGAGUAGUGAAAGAGAUGUCUUGAUUCGGGGGAACUUCGGGAUCAGGGAGAAACCUGGUGCCAGGGAAACUCCGAGGAAUCCACAAGGAUGACCCCAGUUAAGGCUCCUAACAAUAAUGGAGAGAGUGCCUGAACUGGACGUCUCUUGUAAUCAGAUUGGUGACUAUCCUAAUUGUCAUCAGAGAGCCUUUAUCCAGUAACUAUUGGAAGCAGAUGUAGAGAUCCAUGGCCAAGCUCUGGACCGAGCUCUGGGAAAAGCUGAAGAGGGGGCAGGGGAAAGGGGGACUGGAGAGAUGGCUCAGAGGUUAAGAGCACUGACUGCUCUUCCGGAGGUCCUGAGUUCAAUUCCCAGCAACCAUAUGGUGGUUCACAACCAUCUAUAAUGAGAUCUGGUGCCCUCUUCUGGCCUGCAGGCAUGGAGGCUGAACACUGUGUACAUAAAAAUAAAUAAAUCUUUAAAGAGAGAGAGAGAGAGAGAGAGAGAGAGAGAGAGAGAGAGAGAGAAAAGGAUUGUAUGUGUGUGUGUGGGGGCAAGAUCCUCACAAGAGAACACACAGAAACAACUAACUUGGACCCAUAGGAACUCAUAGACUCUCGACCAACAGCUAGGGAGUCUACGUUUGUGUGACAGUUGUGUAGCUUGGUUAAUCUGUGGGACUCCUAGGAGUAAGAUCAGGGCCUUUCCCUAAUGCCUUGGCUGGCUUUUGGGAACCUAUUCCCCAUACAGGGCUGCCUGGCCCAGCCUUAAUACAAAGGGAGGAGCUUAGUCCUACCUCAACUUAAUAUGCCAUGAUGUUGUUGACCUAUGGGAGGCCUUCCCCUUCCAGAACAGAAACAGAGGAGUGGAUGGGGGAUGGGCAGCAGGGAGGCAGGGGAAGGAGCAGGAGGAGAAGAGGGAGGGGAAACAGUGGUCAAGAUGUAAAAUAAAUGAAAAAGUAAUUAAUAAAAAUGUAAUUAAUAAAAAGUAGAUCUGGCUGUAGGAAAAGCUGUGGGUCAUUUUAUUAAUUAGUGAUUAAUAAUGGACUAAGCCCAUUGUGGGUGAUGUCAUCCCUGGACUGGAGGUUCUGGGUUCUAUCAGAAAGCAGGCUGGGCAAGCCAUGAGGGAACAAGUCAGUAAGCAGCAUUCUCCAUGGCCUCUGCAUCAGCUCCUGCCCCCAGGUUCCUGCCCUGGGUGAGUCCUGCCUCGCUGCUUUUCCUGCUCAACUCUUCUCUGGAGCUGUCUUUCGGUGACGGAGUCUCAACAUGGCAGUAGUAACUCUAGGACAGUCAGCUUUGUCACGGUCACAAGCUGGGAUGCACUUGAUGUUCUCGGGAGCCUCUGUCUGCCCUCAACACGGCAGGAGGGAGGCACAGCAGCAAGAGCUGCUGGAGACUGUGGAAGCGGGAGGGUGAGGUUGCCUGCCUGCCUCUCAGCAGACCCAGAAGCAGGAACUGCCCAGGCAGUCCUCAGACUGGAGCUGUAAACCUCAAGGCCACACCUACUCCCAUUAGCAAGGUUCCACGUUCUAAAGGCUCCCCAAUUUGUUCAAACAGUGCAAUCAGCUAGGGAUCUAGCUUUCGUUAAUAGUAACUCUGUUCUGCACUUGCGGAUAUUCUGGUUGACACCUGCACCCCAUCUUUCCCAACUCCCAUUUUUCCAGAGAAUAAAUUUCAUGGGUCAAGACUGAACCUAGUAACUGUUAGGAACUGGGGCAUGUGACUCCAUAACUGAUCUCUGUGGGGACACUGAUCUGUGGGGCUCUCGCAGUGGGCAUAAAUUGACUACAGAGAAAGAAAAGGGACACUGUUCUACCUACCUCUUCUGUUUAGCCAUUAAGAGUUUUUAUUUAAUACAUUUAGGAUAAAACAUUGGGAUAAUGAUUGUGAUUUCACAGCAUAUGGAGUGUGUAAUUUGGUUGAGCAAGGGACCAACUCUGAAUACUAAAUCUAACUUCCUAAUCCUGCUUCUUUCGUUCUAACAUACACUUAGGGUCAGUGACUGGUGCCGUGGCCUCUGAGGAGCAUUGCUCCAGAUGGUCCAGACGCUCUGUGGUGUUGCUACAGAUCUGGGGAAAACAGACCCUAGCGUGUUUGGACCAGAGAAAGUCUCCUUGAGAACUGAGCUAUGCAAUGGUGACUUCGGCAGAGCUGUUAUUUCCUCUGUCUGUUUCUACAGCUUCAGGAUGUGAACUGGUGUGAGGGAUUGUGGGUGACAGAAUGUGGUUAGUGAAUUUUAGCCAUUAGUGUCCCUGUCUUUCCUUUCCUCUCCCUCCAGUACCUCAGGAAAGCUUUUUUUCCUCUUUCUGUUCUUCCUCUUCUUUCAUCUCUUCCUUCCCUUCCUCCCACUCCUUUGUGAGACACAUGACUCAGGCCCGGCCUGGAGUCCACUCUCUUUCUCUUUUGAAAUUGCUUAUUUAAUCCCCACUCCCACUCUCUCUCUUUCUGUGUGUGUGUGUGUGUAUGUGUGUGCGUAUGCUUGUGUGUGAAACACAAUACCUCAGUCAAAUGUUUUAUUUAUGGGAAUUAUUUUUUUUUUGAAUUAGAAAGGGACACAAGACAGAGACAGCUCAGAAUGGCACUACUUUGUGCAAACGGUGAGUGUGGGGAUGUGCCCAGUUGUCCCCUUGGCUAAAGGGACAAACUAUUAGGAGGGCAUGGGAAAGUGUCAACAAUUGCCUCCAGUAGGCAGCAGAGACUCAGCCAUAUUUGCCACCAAGGCUACCCUCCUCCUGGGGCAGCCUACUUGCUUAAGGUGAAGGUGGAACCAUGGUUUUUUUUUUCUGUACCUUGUGGGACAACCCUGGGCAUUUCAAGGAGCUGAGCUAAAAGUCUGACGGUGGUGGCACACACCUUUAAUCCCAGCACUUGGGGAGGAAGAGGCAAGUGGAUCUCUGAGUUUUAGACCAGCCUCAUCUACAGAGUGAGUUCCAGGACAGACAGGGCUAUGCAAAAAGAUUCUGUCUUGAAAAGCAACAACAACAACAAAGAGAGGGAG